GAACAGUGCAUUCUUCCGCUCUUUGUGUUUAAUGUUUGACCGUCUAUCUUAUUUAACAAAUGAUUAGUAUUUUUAUUACCAUUAGAUAAUAAAACAUAAAUAAUAUUUUAAACGUGAUUAUUUUUUAAUAUUUUUUAAAUAAGACAAAUCAUCGAGCGUUGAACACAGAAAUAACAAAUGCACUUAAA
rnacentral:pre_miRNA from 1 species